UACGUAGGCAGCAAGCGUUGCUCGGAAUUACUGGGCGUAAAGAGUGUGUAGGCGGUGUUCUAAGUUUGUCGUGAAAUCUCCCGGCUUAACUGGGAGGGUGCGGCGAAAACUGGAAUGCUAGAGGAUGGGAGAGGUAAGCGGAAUUCCUGGUGUAGCGGUGAAAUGCGUAGAUAUCAGGAGGAACACCGGUGGCGAAGGCGGUUCUCUGGGCAUGUCCUGACGCUGAGGAGCGAAAGUGUGGGGAGCGAACAGG
rnacentral:rRNA from 1 species